rnacentral:lncRNA from 1 species
GCCCAGUCUUUAGUUUUUUCCGUUGUGUUUUGUGUACUGUUUUUGUCUGUUUCUUUUUUAGAAGCAAUGGCGUUGUUAGUUUAUUCUUGAGUGCGAAUGUCCCUUUGAUAUCUUUUAUCUUUUUUCUUUACAACUAUCUUACUUCGAUCCCGUUUUGUAUGAUCACAUGUACAUAAUGUCUGAUCCUCUGACCUACAAUACUUCGUUACGGCAUACAUGAGUCCAGCUGCCGUGAGUGCUUGGACAAAGGACGCCUCUCUUUUGGCUGUAAUAAAAAC